rnacentral:tRNA from 1 species
GGGUUCAUAGCUCAGCUGGUCAGAGCGCCUGCCUUACAAGCAGGAUGUCGGGGGUUCGAGUCCCUCUGAACCCA